rnacentral:rRNA from 1 species
UAAUACGGAGGGUGCAAGCGUUAUCCGGAUUCACUGGGUUUAAAGGGUGCGUAGGUGGGCAGGUAAGUCCGUGGUGAAAUCUCUGAGCUUAACUCAGAAACUGCCGUGGAUACUAUUUGUCUUGAAUAUUGUGGAGGUAAGCGGAAUAUGUCAUGUAGCGGUGAAAUGCUUAGAUAUGACAUAGAACACCAAUUGCGAAGGCAGCUUACUACACAAUUAUUGACGCUGAGGCACGAAAGCGUGGGGAUCAAACAGGAUUAGAUACCCUGGUAGUCCACGCCCUAAACGAUGAUUACUCGACAUCAGCGAUACACUGUUGGUGUCUGAGCGAAAGCAUUAAGUAAUCCACCUGGGAAGUACGAUCGCAAGAUU